GGCGUGACCUAGAGAGAGAAGGAGGAGAAGAAAGAAAGGAAGAAGAAGAAGAAAAAGGGGUUCAAGCUAGGGGUUUGAGCAAGGAGGAUUAUUGGACUCUUGGUUGGAUUUGAUUCUUGAUUUUCUAUCAAGAAGAGGUAGCAAAUAGGAUUUCUUUAUGGCACGCGUGGUGACGUGAGGAGUUCUUUCAUCAUGGGGUGUAUGGCGUGGGGUAAUCCUAUGGACGGAAAAACGAUCAACGUAG